UACGGAGGAUCCAAGCGUUAUCCGGAUUUAUUGGGUUUAAAGGGUGCGUAGGUGGCUUUUUAAGUCAGGGGUGAAAGACGGUAGCUUAACUAUCGCAGUGCCUUUGAUACUGAAGAGCUUGAAUGAACUAGAGGUAGGCGGAAUGUGACAAGUAGCGGUGAAAAUGCAUAGAUAUGUCACAGAACACCAAUUGCGAAGGCAGCUUACUAUGGUUAGAUUGACACUGAGGCACGAAAAGCGUGGGGGAUCAAAACAGG
rnacentral:rRNA from 1 species